UACGAAGGGGGCUAGCGUUGUUCGGAAUCACUGGGCUUAAAGGGCGCGUAGGCGGGCGGUCAAGUCUGUGGUGAAAUCCUUCGGCUCAACCGGAGAAUAGCUGGAGAUACUGGCCGUCUCGAGGGGGGUAGGGGCAUGUGGAACUUCCGGUGGAGCGGUGAAAUGCGUAGAUAUCGGAAGGAACGCCGGUGGCGAAAGCGACGUGCUGGACCCUUUCUGACGCUGAGGCGCGAAAGCCAGGGGAGCAAACGGG
rnacentral:rRNA from 1 species